AGAGUUUGAUCCUGGCUCAGGAUGAACGCUAGCGGCAGGCCUAACACAUGCAAGUCGAGGGGCAUCGGGAUUGAAGCUUGCUUCAAUUGCCGGCGACCGGCGCACGGGUGCGUAACGCGUAUGUAACCUACCUAUAACAGGGGCAUAACACUGAGAAAUUGGUACUAAUUCCCCAUAAUAUUCGGAGAGGCAUCUCUCCGGGUUGAAAACUCCGGUGGUUAUAGAUGGACAUGCGUUGUAUUAGCUAGUUGGUGAGGUAACGGCUCACCAAGGCAACGAUACAUAGGGGGACUGAGAGGUUAACCCCCCACACUGGUACUGAGACACGGACCAGACUCCUACGGGAGGCAGCAGUGAGGAAUAUUGGUCAAUGGACGCAAGUCUGAACCAGCCAUGCCGCGUGCAGGAAGACGGCUCUAUGAGUUGUAAACUGCUUUUGUACGAGGGUAAACUCACCUACGUGUAGGUGACUGAAAGUAUCGUACGAAUAAGGAUCGGCUAACUCCGUGCCAGCAGCCGCGGUAAUACGGAGGAUUCAAGCGUUAUCCGGAUUUAUUGGGUUUAAAGGGUGCGUAGGCGGUUUGAUAAGUUAGAGGUGAAAUCCCGGGGCUUAACUCCGGAACUGCCUCUAAUACUGUUAGACUAGAGAGUAGUUGCGGUAGGCGGAAUGUAUGGUGUAGCGGUGAAAUGCUUAGAGAUCAUACAGAACACCGAUUGCGAAGGCAGCUUACCAAACUAUAUCUGACGUUGAGGCACGAAAGCGUGGGGAGCAAACAGGAUUAGAUACCCUGGUAGUCCACGCAGUAAACGAUGAUAACUCGUUGUCGGCGAUACACAGUCGGUGACUAAGCGAAAGCGAUAAGUUAUCCACCUGGGGAGUACGUUCGCAAGAAUGAAACUCAAAGGAAUUGACGGGGGCCCGCACAAGCGGAGGAACAUGUGGUUUAAUUCGAUGAUACGCGAGGAACCUUACCCGGGCUUAAAUUGCAGUGGAAUGAUGUGGAAACAUGUCAGUGAGCAAUCACCGCUGUGAAGGUGCUGCAUGGUUGUCGUCAGCUCGUGCCGUGAGGUGUCGGCUUAAGUGCCAUAACGAGCGCAACCCUU
rnacentral:rRNA from 1 species